rnacentral:tRNA from 1 species
GCAGAGGUAUCGAAGCGGUCAUAACGGGGCUGACUCGAAAUCAGUUUGGAUGCAAGUCCACGUGGGUUCGAAUCCCACCCUCUGCGCCA